rnacentral:rRNA from 1 species
AACGCGAAGAACCUUACCUGGGUUUGACAUCCUCGGACAGCCGUAGAGAUACGGUUUUCCCUUCGGGGACCGAGAGACAGGUGCUGCAUGGCUGUCGUCAGCUCGUAUCGUGAGAUGUCGGGUUAAGUCCCUUAACGAGCGCAACCCUUAUCCUUAGUUGCCACCAUUAAGUUGGGCACUCUAGGGAGACUGCCGGUGUUAAGCCGGAGGAAGGUGGGGAUGACGUCAAGUCCUCAUGGCCUUUAUAUCCAGGGCCACACACGUGCUACAAUGGCCGGUACAAAGGGAUGCCAACCCGCGAGGGGGAGCCAAUAUCAGAAAGCCGGUCUCAGUUCGGAUUGAAGUCUGCAACUCGACUUCAUGAAGCUGGAAUCGCUAGUAAUCGCAGAUCAGAACGCUGCGGUGAAUACGUUCCCGGGCCUUGUACACACCGGUACUA